UACGUAGGGCGCGAGCGUUGUCCGGAAUUCUUGGGCGUAAAGAGCUCGUAGGCGGCCUGUCGCGUCGGUUGUGAAAGCCCGGGGCUCAACCCCGGGUCUGCAGUCGAUACGGGCAGGCUAGAGUAUGGCAGGGGCAGAGGGAAUUCCUGGUGUAGCGGUGAAAUGCGCAGAUAUCAGGAGGAACACCGGUGGCGAAGGCGGAUCUCUGGGCCGAUACUGACGCUGAGGAGCGAAAGCGUGGGGAGCGAACAGG
rnacentral:rRNA from 1 species